GCUUGCUUCAGCCACACACACACUAAAAUUGGAACGAUACAGAGAUCAGCAUGGCCCCUGUGCAAGGAUGACAUGCAAAUUCAUGAAGUGUUCUAUAUUUUU